GCACUACGUUUUGAUGUUUAAGUAAAUGACUUAAUCUCCCUGCCUCUGUAGGGGAUUCACUAACAUCCCCAUUGCAACAAAUGAGAAACUGAGGCCCAAAUACCAGCGCCAGCCAUCUAUCCAGGGUCUAUGGGAUUUCAGGACCAGUCUUUAACCUGGCUCUACUGUUGGUUGAAUGAAUAAAAUCGUGUUGCAUAAGUGUCACAACAACGUCAUGGAAGAGGCAGUGUGGAGAUGUUGCUAUGGAUGAUGUUGAGUGAGGGUUGAAGGAGGCUACUUCAUUCACAGAUGUCCACUCACCUGGUCUUGGUGUGGGUCUCCUUGGAUUCAUCUUGUUGGGACUCCUCUCUGUGAUUCCUGGACCUGGAUAUCCAUUUCCUUCUCAGGCUAUGCACAUUCAUCUGGAAUGGAAGGUGGUGACUAAGGAACCAGCAGAUAAGAGAUCUGUAUCUUUUAGGGUCGACCUAUAUAUUUUAUCCCCAAGAAGCUGGAGACCAUGCCACUUCAUACAUCCUGUGGAUAAUAUUAAACAUAUGUGAUAAGUGGCGUUAUCCUGCCCUUGAGAAACUUGUCGUCUAAUUGAGGAGAAGAGACCUCACAUGUGGAACAAUCCAGAAGUACUUAAGGCACCUACCACAAAGGCUUCACACAUUAAAGAACUGAGAAUUAUUUGGCUAUAAAAAAGAAUCUGCUAAAUUAAUGGCAUGGCCAAUACAUGCCAUAUUUCCAAAGAGGGUGCUACAAGUAUGAGCCAACAUUACCUGGGGAUGUUCGAGAAGGCAGUGAGUGUAUAAGCUGAACUUUAAGGAAAUCUGUAGGCGUUGAAGGGGUAGAGGAGAAAAACAAGGGCGUUCUAGGUGGCAAGGCAGGUUAGGCAAGGCCUUGAGUGUUUUCAGAAAAGUUUACACCCGGUUCUCCAGGUAAAGGCAGCAUUUGAUAAGUUGCCUUUUCUUUUUUUUUCAAUCAGAGUAGUGGCAGGUACGAAAGCAUGGGCUGAGGGGCACUGGCUAUGGUGAACGGGAUGUUCUGGGUGAUACAGGGAAUAGGGUGUCCGGCUGGGGAGGUCCUUUAAUGGACCCAGCAGCGAGAGAAGAGGGCAGGAGAAUGAUGAGUGGCCCCCUUAAGUGCCAAAUGCCUUUCAUAUAUGAUCCCGUUUGUUUUUAUCCUCUGGAAAUCCUGCACAGUGGCUCUGGCUCUCCUUACUUUAAAGAUGAAGAAACUGAAGCUUGGGCUGCUGGGAGCUCAUGAGCACAAAGUUACUGCACGUCCUGAUUCAACCUCCACGUCGCAAGUGCCAACAACAGAGCUCAUAUCCCCCUCACAGACACACAAGCGUGGUCAGCUCAUCCACUGCCACUCUUCCCAAAAGGCUGGGAAAGCGAAUCACGAACGUUAAUUGAAGUCAUCUCCUUCCUGAAUUCCACCGUGGUGAUCCCGUGAUAUGAUACACCUGUGAGCCUUUUCUCCCUUUUCGGGUGCUCUGGGGAAGAUAUACUUCAUAGUAUUUACAUUUUGGAAUCUUGAAAGGCAGGUUGUAAUUAAAUUCCUUUUUCCACCUUGAUGUCAUCUGUUCUCACAUGCACAACCACAGCUGUUCACGUUCUAUGUCCUAUACACAACACCCUCCCAGGAAUGAUGGCCUUAUCCUGGAAUGAUCUGUUUAGUGUCUCUCCCACACCUGACUGAGAGCUGUUUGAGACCAGGAUGAUUGCUUUUUAAAAAAAAAGUAUAUAUAUAUAUAUAUAUAUAU